rnacentral:rRNA from 1 species
AUUGAACGCUGGCGGCAUGCCUUACACAUGCAAGUCGAACGGCAGCACGGGAGCAAUCCUGGUGGCGAGUGGCGAACGGGUGAGUAAUACAUCGGAACGUGCCCAAUCGUGGGGGAUAACGUAGCGAAAGCUACGCUAAUACCGCAUACGAUCUACGGAUGAAAGCAGGGGAUCGCAAGACCUUGCGCGAAUGGAGCGGCCGAUGGCAGGUUAGGUAGUUGGUGGGGUAAAGGCCUACCAAGCCGACGAUCUGUAGCUGGUCUGAGAGGACGACCAGCCACACUGGGACUGAGACACGGCCCAGACUCCUACGGGAGGCAGCAGUGGGGAAUUUUGGACAAUGGGCGCAAGCCUGAUCCAGCCAUGCCGCGUGCAGGAUGAAGGCCUUCGGGUUGUAAACUGCUUUUGUACGGAACGAAACGGCGCUUUCUAAUACAGAGCGCUAAUGACGGUACCGUAAGAAUAAGCACCGGCUAACUACGUGCCAGCAGCCGCCGUAA